GACGAACGCUGGCGGCGUGCUUAACACAUGCAAGUCGAACGGUGACCUCGAGAGCUUGCUCUCGGGCGAUCAGUGGCGAACGGGUGAGUAACACGUGAGUAACCUGCCCCAGACUCUGGAAUAACCCCGGGAAACCGGCGCUAAUACCGGAUACGAGACGGAGUCGCAUGGCUACCGUAUGGAAAGUUUUUCGGUCUGGGAUGGGCUCGCGCCCUAUCAGCUAGGUGGUGAGGUAACGGCUCACCAAGGCGACGACGGGGAGCCGGCCUGAGAGGGGGACCGGCCACACUGGGACUGAGCCACGGCCCAGACUCCUACGGGAGGCAGCAGUGGGGAAUAUUGCACAAGGGGCGAAAGCCUGAUGCAGCGACGCCGCGUGAGGGAUGACGGCCUUCGGGUUGUAAACCUCUUUCAGCAGGGAAGAAGCGAAAGUGACGGUACCUGCAGAAGAAGCACCGGCUAACUACGUGCCAGCCGCCGCCGUAAUAC
rnacentral:rRNA from 1 species